GACGAACGCUGGCGGCGUGCCUAAUACAUGCAAGUAGAACGCAGUUGCGAACGGGUGAGUAACGCGUAGGUAACUGCCUCAUAGCGGGGGCUAAGUAUUGGAAACGAUAGCUAAUACCGCAUACUGUGAGAUGGACCUGCGUUGUAUUAGGUAGUUGGUGAGGUAAAGGCUCACAAAGGCGACGAUACAUAGCCGACCUGAGAGGGUGGUGGGCCACACCGGGACUGAGACACGGGCGAGACUCCUUCGGGUGGCAGCGGUAGCACAUGUUCGGCAAUGGACGGAAGUCUGGCCAGGCUCAGCCGCGUGUGUGAGGCAGGGUUUCGGAUCGUAGAGCGCUCUUUUUAGCGACGCGGUAUCUACCCAGAAAGGGACGGCUAACUACGUGCCAGCAGCCGCGGUAAUAC
rnacentral:rRNA from 1 species